GACGAACGCUGGCGGCGUGCUUAACACAUGCAAGUCGAACGGAAAGGCCCUGCUUUUGUGGGGUGCUCGAGUGGCGAACGGGUGAGUAACACGUGAGUAACCUGCCCUUGACUUUGGGAUAACUUCAGGAAACUGGGGCUAAUACCGGAUAGGAGCUCCUGCUGCAUGGUGGGGGUUGGAAAGUUUCGGCGGUUGGGGAUGGACUCGCGGCUUAUCAGCUUGUUGGUGGGGUAGUGGCUUACCAAGGCUUUGAUGGGUAGCCGGCCUGAGCGGGUGACCGGCCACAUUGGGACUGAGAUACGGCCCAGACUCCUACGGGAGGCAGCAGUGGGGAAUAUUGCACAAUGGGCGGAAGCCUGAUGCAGCAACGCCGCGUGCGGGAUGACGGCCUUCGGGUUGUAAACCGCUUUCGCCUGUGACGAAGCGUGAGUGACGGUAAUGGGUAAAGAAGCACCGGCUAACUACGUG
rnacentral:rRNA from 1 species